GCGAAUCGCCCUUCGGGGUGCAGCAGGCGCGAAAACUUUACAAUGCUGGCAACAGCGAUAAGGGGACCUCGAGUGCCAGGAUACAAUCUUGGCUGUCGCGAUGCCUAAAAAGCAUUGCAUAGCAAGGGCCGGGCAAGACCGGUGCCAGCCGCCGCGGUAACACCGGCGGCUCGAGUGGUAACCGCUAUUAUUGGGUCUAAAGGGUCUGUAGCCGGCCGGAUAAGUCUUUUGGGAAAUCCAGCUGCUCAACAGUUGGGCUUUCAGAAGAUACUGUUCGGCUCGAGACCGGGAGAGGUGAGAGGUACUUCAGGGGUAGGGGUGAAAUCUUGUAAUCCUUGAAGGACCACCAGUGGCGAAGGCGUCUCACCAGAACGGAUCUGACGGCAAGGGACGAAAGCUAGGGGCACGAACCGGAUUAGAUACCCGGGUAGUCCUAGCCGUAAACGAUACUCGCUAGGUGUCAGCCACGGUGCGACCGUGGUUGGUGCCGUAGGGAAGCCGUGAAGCGAGCCACCUGGGAAGUACGGCCGCAAGGCUGAAACUUAAAGGAAUUGGCGGGGGAGCAC
rnacentral:rRNA from 1 species